UUUAAGUGCAACCAUAAGUUUCUACGUUCAACUUUUAUCGUCCGUCUUAUUUGAAAAUUUUUUAUAAUUAGUAUUUUUGUUGUUAUGAGAUGAUAAAACAUAAAUAAUACUUUACUCGUGACUUAUAUUUUUAAUUUUUUUAUUUUUUUAAAUAAGACGGACGGUUAAAGUUGGACGCGGGAAACCAUGGCUGUACUUAAA
rfam:Oryza sativa (indica cultivar-group) chromosome 1, whole genome shotgun sequence.